rnacentral:rRNA from 1 species
AUCAACUUUCGAUUGGUAGGAUAGAGGCCUACCAUGGUUGUAACGGGUAACGGGGUGUUAGGGCACGACACCGGAGAGGGAGCCUGAGAAACGGCUACCACAUCCAAGGAUGGCAGCAGGCGCGCAAAUUACCCAAUCCCGACACGGGGAGGUAGUGACAAUAAAUAACAAUACGGGGUUCUUUCGGAUUUCGUAAUUGGAAUGAGUACAAUUUAAAUCUCUUAACGAGGAACAAUUGGAGGGCAAGUCUGGUGCCAGCAGCCGCGGUAAUUCCAGCUCCAAUAGCGUAUAUUAAAGUUGCUGCAGUUAAAAAGCUCGUAGUUGAAUUUCGGGACCAAUAUGUCGGUCGUGCCUCGGUACGUACUGGCAUCGUUGGUUUCUCCCUUCUGACGAACCAUGAUGUCAUUCAUUUGGUGUCGUGGGGAAUCAGGACUGUUACUUUGAAAAAAUUAGAGUGUUUAAAGCAGGCUCACGCUUGAAUACAUUAGCAUGGAAUAAUGAAAUAGGACGUUUGAUUCUAUUUUGUUGGUUUCUAGGAUCGACGUAAUGAUUAAUAGGGAUAGUUGGGGGCAUUAGUAUUCAAUUGUCAGAGGUGAAAUUCUUGGAUUUAUUGAAGACUAACUACUGCGAAAGCAUUUGCCAAGGAUGUUUUCAUUAAUCAAGAACGAAAGUUAGGGGAUCGAAGACGAUCAGAUACCGUCGUAGUCUUAACCAUAAACUAUGCCGACUAGGGAUCGGAUGAUGUUAAUUUUUUAAUGACUCAUUCGGCGCCUUACGGGAAACCAAAGUGUUUGGUUC